UACAGAGGGUGCAAGCGUUAAUCGGAGUUACUGGGCGUAAAGGGCGCGUAGGCGGUUCUGCAAGUGAGAUGUGAAAUCCCUGGGCUUAACCUGGGAACUGCAUCUUAAACUGUGGGGCUGGAGUACUGUAGAGGACAGUGGAAUUUCCGGUGUAGCGGUGAAAUGCGUAGAGAUCGGAAGGAACACCAGUGGCGAAGGCGACUGUCUGGACAGAUACUGACGCUGAGGCGCGAAAGCGUGGGGAGCAAACAGG
rnacentral:rRNA from 1 species